CAACCUUAACCAGCAGGGCACCUCCAACAUCUGCCCCUAUUUUAUUUUAUAAUGGAGAAGUGUCACUGAAUUUUAAGAAAGUUUCCAUCUAUAUCAGUGGAGUCUAAGGCCUGACAUCAAACUAUGGCCUGGUUUGCGGUAAUUCUACAAUGGUGGUAAUUUGUCAUUAGAGAAACUGUAUAAUGCAAGGAACAAGCAUCAAAAUAAAAUAUAACAUAAUUUAAAGGCUAAUAAUGGGUAGGAGCCAAGAAAACAAGGGGGUUUAAAACCAGGACAGAAGUUCCUUAGGAUUAUACCAGGUCAAGAGAUCUUUACAGAGGGCCUUAAGGAUUUUUACAUUUUGUUCCAUUAAAUUGGAAUCACUGACAAAGAAACUGCAUUCCUUCCCCAAGACCAUGCAUGUCCCCCCUUGUUGUGCAGUUUCAGAUGGAGGUUUUUUCGAUUGUGGAGAACUACUCCAGCAAGAGCGCUCUGUCUUUGUAGUGACUCCAGGCUUGCAGUAGUUGAUACUAUGGGCUGGUCCAGUUGACUCUGAAAGUCUCCUGCUAGAUGAUGGGUCUGUACAACCGUGACAGUUGCAGUGCUCCCAGCGCCCAGGGAGAGGUGUGACAACAAAGAAGACUCCAGGGAGAUAAAGAGGCCCACAGAGGGAAGGAGAAUGCUUUCUGCCUGGCGGCCUCCACUAAGGACACCUUGUCGGGAAGCCACUGCAACAUGAACAGACCACCUUAACAAACCGGCCCUGAAAGGACCACCUUAUCAGACUGGCCCUGGAAGGCAACCGCAGCUUCCUUCGCAUCUGAGGCCUGGCCGGAGCAGAGAACCUUCGAGGCCCAUCAAGUCAUCUGAGGUCUGGCUGGAACUGCGAACUCCAGAUGCUGGAGGCAAAGUGUCCGAGCCCUACCUGUGGCCAGCUUCUUUGACAAUGAGACAGGUCAUUUCCUGGCAGCACCCCACCCACCUCAAAGAAGAUGAUGAGCUUCGAAGAACCUCCAUAUGGAGAUGGCUUCAAAUGUGGCAAACAAGCCACUCGGAUAAAGAAAAUAGCCUCGCUUCACAACAGACAACUUCUGCCAAAAAUGGGCAAACUUAAAUGCAGGACAAAUCGACUGCCGAACUCUGCCAAGACAGGGGUAUGGAAAACUCAGGUAGAUACCUGAAAGACUGACUUGACCCGUGGAAGAUGGACAAAGAAGGCCCUAAGUGUCUGCAGGGGCUAGACCUGAGGAAAGGAAAGUGAAUGGGGGUGAUGGAGUCAUUGAGCCAUGAAAAAGAGUCUCCUUGUCAGCAAUGAUUCAGAUGAAGAAACUAGUUGACUGAGGGAAAAGAGUUGAAGUCUUGGUGGAUGGGUGUUGUUUCUUGCUGUGUUGUCGCUAUUGAAUACGUCUGUUACUGGUGAUCAUACUGUUCCCUAGGCAAAGAUGGUCACAUGACAAUCGAGGCAGUGAUGUUCAGGCUUUGCAUGAUGAACUAUUUAGCAAUCAGCCCUGAAAUUUAGAUAAAUUCCCCCCUUCAUUACUGUGCAAAACCUAUCAAAGAUUUUUGGUCAUUAUUUUUCUAAUUUUAAUUGGGCUCUAAAAUGUGGUCCAUAGGAAUUUCUUUGGGAUUUUUUAGUUGGUUAUGCGGAGAAGCAUUAUAGCUUUGAGACUGAUUUGCUUCUGCAUGUCUUCUUUGAAUUUUGACAUGUAUACUUUGAAUUAAGAAGGGGAGGGCCUGUGGGGAAUUAUGGUUUUGGCCUGGCAUACAGUUGGUAUGAGAAGCAUGUGCCAGUGGUCUUUUAGUUUAGAGACCUUAGCUCCUGAAGCACUGUGUCCCUUUCAGUGUGUCCCAACACUUAAAGAACUCCCUCAGAGACUUGAACAUUCAAGCCACCUGUGUUCUCUGUCUUCCCUAGAAGUCAGGAAAACAUCCAGAAGCUUGGUAAACAUUUAAUUAAUUAGACAUUAAUUCUGUGUACCCUUAUAGCUUGCAGAUGUCAUUGUAUCCUGGCAGUUACAAUUGUAUUCUCUCUGGAAACUUCCAUCAUAUCCUGCUUCUGAUAAUGAUGUUAAAAUUCUUGCUGCAUGCAAUAAAUUUGUCACAUCCCUAAUUUUCAUGUAGCCCCUCUGACCCAUGCCUAAAAGAUGAAAUAUCCUUUGACCAUAAUCAGGUAUCACUGGCUUGGUAAGUAAGUGCUGAUGUUUACACCAAGACAAAGAACUUUUAAUUCCACUAAGGCUUGCUGAAAUUUACUGAUUCUAUUUUGAAGCCCCAACCCCUUCUCAUUCACUGCCCUUUCCUAAAUCAGUCACCCACCUCCACAUCCAUCAUGGUAGUCAGAACAAGGCAAUUAUUAAAAUAGAACAGGCACAUAUGAAGAAAUGACUCAGGGAGUAGAGGCUAGCACAUAGGCACAUGAAUCUGCAUUCAAAUUUUCAUCUCUGACCGCCCCCCAUAAACUCUGGGUCCCGUACCCCUUUUCCCAGGUACCCUUUUUCCAACUGGAGAAUGUCUUUCCCUGCUAUUGGAAACAAACGGUAACUUCUGCUGAAGGCAGUCUAGUCUCUUUCUGCCUUCUCCCUUUCUAUAUUGCUUUUUAAAUAUAACAGCAUCCAUGGAGUUAAACCUCCCUACCCACCUCUGAAAAGCCCACCUCUUCAGUCAUACCACAUAAGAGACUGCAGAUGUCCAAACUGCAUCAGCUAAUUCUCACUUACACUCAUGGUGUUUAGGAUGGUACUAGAAUAAGGGUCUUUAACAUCCUGUUUUUAUAGAGCCGUCAAUUUUCUUCACGGUUACUGAACAUCCAAACAUGGUUUCUAUGAACAGGUUCAAAGUCUUUUCCUGACCUCACUUAAAAUGACAUCUCUACUUCCAUUGUCAGUUAUCCAUGACUUCCACUUCCGUAAGAAAGAAAGACAUUUUUCUCAGUGAAUUAUAUAAGAUCCGUAUUACUCUGCUGUUGAGUUUUAGAAACUCCAUCUUACAUAAUGCCUGUUGCUCAACUGAACUCUCCUUGUUUGCCGCUGCUCCAGUGCAUUAUGCUCAUCAGAGCCUAUGAAACACCUGGUCAGUCCCUCACAUCCUGUUCCUGAGAUCUAUGUUUCUAAACAACAACUACUUACCAAUUAGGCAUCUGCAGUAAGAGGCUUCAUUUUUAACAAAAUAAUGAGAUGUAAAAAUAGAGUUUCUGCUGUCACUCUAAACCAUGAAACUUUCUGAAAAUCAGACCCUGUUUAAAUGAUGCUUGACAGACAAUGUGAUUUCACAAGGUUCAGUUUACACAGAGAAUAUAAGAGAAUCUUCUGGAGUUCAAAGACAAAUGAAAUCAAUUCCAUUGAAUUUAUUUAUUUAUUUUUAAUCAAAGAAGGAAAAAAUGGCUGGAACACAACACAACAUGGCUGGAAACAAUGACACAUCUUCAACACCAGCACUUGGAAUGUGUGACUCUGUUGCAUCUAUUCAAUAGGCCAUAAGAUUACAGAAUUAUAUUGCAUAAUCCUAAUUUGAUUCUUACAUCCCCUUAUGAAAAAAUUCCUAAUUCUGGACGUACAUUUUAUCCAACAUGAACUAUAUUCUUUGAAAUUCAUUUAUUAUAUGGUGCUUUCAGAUUUGGAACCCAUAUUUACUUAUUUUCAGAAAAUCCAUUGGGUACUCCAAUUUGAUUCAUAUGUGGAAUGAUUGUGAAAUAAUAAAUGCCAUUAAACUCUGGAGUCUUAAAUGAUUCACUAGUGAUAUAUUGCUGCAGUUAGAUAUAGCACUAUUUUUUAACAUCUAUGGAGAGAACUAUUGAAAUAUUUCUAGGUAUUAAAAAAUUAGGUUUUGAAUACUUUGCUGGUAUUUGUGACUUUUAUCUUAAAACACAUAUGAAGCUUUGUUUAUAAUGCCAUAUUUUUACUACAUUAAAACUUUGUGUAUUUAUGAAAACAUCACUUUAUCAAUGGAUUUUUUUCUGUUUUAUAGUUUGAGCUAAAUAUUUAUCAAGUUUAUUUUCAGUAGACUCAAAUCUGUUUUGAUGUCUUGUUUUUCCUACUUUGGUGAUCAUGGAACUAUAAUCAAUUUUUUUCUCAAGAUAUUUUCUCAACAAUCACAACUUAACUCCUUUGCUUCUAUUAUUAGUGUUUUGUUGUUUCUUUUCUACUGUACAAUGUAUGCUUCAAGUAUAGAAUUCUUUCUCUGACUUAAGGUGUAUGAUAUGUGUUUCAUUAACUAAUUUAUGUAAGAAUAACCCUUCUUUUAAAAAAAUAUGCUUUCCUUAUUCUAAAAUAUUAAAUCAGUGAUAUUUUAAUUUUAUUUUUAAAAUUGUUAUCACAUUUACAUUUUACCCUACUUUCACCUUUUAAAAAUUUUAUUUAUUGAUUAUGUGUACAGUGUUCUAUCUGCAUGUAUGCCUGCAGGCCAGAGGAGGACAUCAGAUCUCAUUAUAGUGGCCAUGAGCCACCACGUGGUUGCUGGAAAUUGGACUCAGGACCUUCAGAAGAGCAGACAGUGCUCUUAACCUCUGAGCCAUCUCUCCAGCUCCUACUUUCACUUUUGUGUAUAAUCACUAAUAGAAAAUAACAUACAUUUUUAAAAUAUAUUGUUUGAAUUGAAUGAUUGACAUGCUCCUGCUCUGUGCAUAUUGAAUGUUUAUGUGCCUACCAUAUAGUUAAAGUGCAGGGGAGGAAUGUUCGACAAAAGAAUAUUUUAUUUUCAAUCUCUCUCCUAGUUUUCUUUUUCUCUGUCCUUCCCACACAUGAUCCUUCCUGUAUCCCUACCCACCCCCUCUCCCUCCAUCCACUUCUGAUGUCUAUUUUAUUUCCCCUUCUAAGUGAGAUUCAAGCAUUCUCCCUUGAGUUCUCCUGUCACUUAGCUUCUUUGGGUCUGUGGAUUGUAGCAUACUUAGCCUGUAUUUUAUGGCUAAUAUCCAUUUAUACCAUACAUGUCUUUCUGGGUCUGGGUUGCCUCACUCAGGAUAUUUUCUAGUUUCAUCCAUUUGCAUGCAAAUUUCAUGUUGUCCAAGUUUUUCAUAGUUGAGUAGUAAUCCAUAGUAUAAACAUAACACAUUUUCUUUAUCCAUUCUGUCAUUGAGGGACUUUCAGGUUCUUUCCAGUUUCUGACUAUUACAAAUAAAACUGCUAUGAACAUAGUUGAGCAAGUGUCCUUGUGGAAUGGUGGAGCAUCUUUUGGAUAUAAGCCCAGGAGUGAUAUAGCUUGGUCUUGAGGUAGAAGUAUUUCUAAUUUUCUUGGAAACCACAAAAAUGAUUUCCAGACUUGUGUAAGUGUGGACUCCUUGGAGGGACAUCUCUGGGAUGAG